GAUGAAGAACGUAGCGAAAUGCGAUAAGUAAUGUGAAUUGCAGAAUUCAGUGAAUCAUCGAAUCUUUGAACGCACAUUGCGCCCCCUGGCAUUCCGGGGGGCACACCUGUCCGAGCGCCGUCGCAACACUGAGGCUCAGCCUUGCGCUGGCGGACCAGUUUCUCGACUGGCCGCCGAAACCCCGACGGCGCCGCCUCCUCGGUCGACAGCUCCUGCGCAAACAGCAGAGACGAGCGCCCGACGAAGACGGAGGACGGCCGCCUGUGAUCAAACACAAGCUUGGCCUCGGAUCAGGUGGGGAUACCCGCUGAACUUAAGCAUAUCAAUAAGCGGAGGA
rnacentral:misc_RNA from 1 species